GGGUCUCUCUAGGCAGACCAGAUUUGAGCCCGGGAGCUCUCUGGCUAUCUAGGGAACCCAC
rfam:HIV-1 isolate 98ZADu178 from South Africa, complete genome.